rfam:Felis catus isolate Cinnamon breed Abyssinian chromosome C1, whole genome shotgun sequence.
GCCUGGGUGGCUCAGUCGGUUGAGCGUCUGACUUCAGCUCAGGUCACGAUCUCGCGGUCCGUGAGUUCGAGCCCCGCAUCGGGCU